UCAACAAUCUGAGAGCCUGAGACCUUCUCCACAAUGACCUAUUAAGCACAGACACAGAAGAGAGGCUUUCAUACACACAGAAGGAUCAGACUGCCCUGGCUGUAGGUCUUGAGGUCUCCAAGACCCAACGCCUGUCCCAAGUGGGGAUUACAAGGUUCAGAAACACCCCUAGUAUUGGGCAACUUGGCUCCUAACCAAAAACUCAAGUGAACAGAAGCGAUUCUACAGGAAUCUUGGCUGCUUGGAUGCAGAAGGGAGCCUAAAGAGAUGACUGCAGGUACUUAGAUAACUAUUUCUGAACAAUGAAAGCUCAAAUAUCUUGUAAAUGACAGAGUGGAGUAAUCAGAGAAAGUUGAUUAAAAUUGUCCAUUUAGAUCACCAAGCUGGAAACCUUGAUUUAAAAAAACCAAACAAAAAAGAGUUUGACUCUUGUUUUGCAACUCUAAACUCCAGUUUGGGGGGUCCCCAAAGAUUCACCCCCUAAAGGUCAUCUCAAAGAAGCAGUGCUGGCUGGUGUGCCACAUCUGGCUCUCAGGCCCUACAUGGGAAUGAUUCUUGAGGCUGGAAAGCCUCACAGUACGUUAACUGCAACUGAGUAUGCCCUUUAUCAAACUCUAUUUGGAUGGGAAUUGGAAUGCCAAUAAGUGUAUAAAAAAUAAAAUUAUUUUUGAGUUAAAAAUUUUAAAUGUACUGGCUAUCCAAAAAUAGCAUGCAUCAAGCAACGCUUUCUUUUAAAACAAAUGUAUUGUACAAAUAAAUGAAUAAACUUUCUGGAGCUCAUGAACUGAA